rnacentral:lncRNA from 1 species
AUGCUGACUCUCUGGAACGGAGACAAAGGAGGGUGUAGCUCGGAGAAACCUAGCCAGGCGCUCCAAGGCUCUGGGCUACCGGAGGCUGCUGCCCCGCAAAGCUUCUCUUGCGCUCUCGGCGCCGAGGAGUCCGAAACUGAUGGCGGACUUGGUUCCUUUCCCAAACUUCGGGAGACGGUGUUUACCCUAACUCUGGUGGCUGAAGCAGGGGGCGUGGGGGCGAAGAAGCGCCCCGCUAAGGCUGCUAUGGCUGUCCACCCACCUCCCCACCGCCCGGCAGCACCCUUCCCUUCCCCCUCACCUGUCCUGAGCGCGGGGCCUCAGGGGUCCAGUCGCCUUUCGGGACUCGCACUGCAGGAGCAGUUGGGACGUCGGGCGCCUCCGGAACCAGCGAAGGAGGCGGCGGCGGGCUCGGGGGCGUCAGCGGGAAUCUCGGCAGCCGCGGGCAGCCUCGGGCUCCCUCCCCAUCCCGGCGGGGCUCGGGCAGCGGACGCGGCGUGGCCACCGAGCGCGGCUGAGUCAGGCGAGGGGGCGGGCGGGGGAGGGUGGGGGGCUCCCCUACCCCCGAGCCGGGGGGGCGGCAGCGGCCUCGGGGCGGGGGACGUGCCGCUGCUUGUGCCCGCCGCGGGUCGCGGGACCGCCGGCCGCCGCCAUCGAGCGCAGGAGCCUGAGCGCUCCAGCCCUCGGAGGUCACCGGGUGCGGCGCGCGACUCGCGGCUCAGGCGUCGUCGCCGCCUCCAAGAAAGACAAAAGGGACCCGGGGGCUGGGAGGGGAAAAGUUUUCUGCUCGGCUCCAGACAGAUCCCCACCAAACCUCACGCUCCAAGCGCGGAAGAGGCGGGCUGGGGGCUGGGGGCUGGGGGCUGGGAGCUGGGGGCUGGGGGCUGGGAGCUGGGGGCUGGGGGCUGGGGCGGGGGGCGGGGCUGGCUUCCAGGCGCGUCACAGCACGAUCCGGACCCGGGUCCGAGCCAAGCUCGCCGCCGCCCACCACCCGUGGGAACUCCCCCCGCCCUGCUGCCCCCGCUUUCGCAGCCCGCCUCCUCCUUGAUGCAGACAAGAUCUGCUCUUCCCCCUCCCAGGUCCCCAGUCCCCCAACGGGUGACCCCGCCGCAAAGUUGCACUUCUGGAGCCGGGAUUACCACAGACAAAACCUAUCUGUGGGAACAAAAUACCCGCUUUCAGGAGCUCUUCUCUGGGCUGGAAGGCCAGAAGGUGGAAACGGACACACCCACCCGUGGGGCGCGCCUCUUGCUGUGGUGGAGCCCCGGGUCCCAGAGCCGAGGUCGGCGCCCCGCCAGUCCUCUGGAGCAAUAG